GUGGACAGUGGCAGACGGGUGAGUAACGCGUGGGAACGUGCCUUUCGGUGCGGGAUAACCCAGGGAAACUUGGGCUAAUACCGGAUACGCCCUUCGGGGGCAAAGAUUCAUUGCCAGAAAGAUCGGCCCGCGUCGGAUUAGCUUGUUGGUGGGGUAAUGGCCUACCAAGGCGACGAUCCGUAGCUGGUCUGAGAGGAUGACCAGCCACACUGGGACUGAGACACGGCCCAGACUCCUACGGGAGGCAGCAGUGGGGAAUAUCGGACACUGGGCGAAAGCCUGAUCCAGCCAUGCC
rnacentral:rRNA from 1 species